GACGAACGCUGGCGGCGUGCUUAACACAUGCAAGUCGAGCGGAAAGGCCCUUCGGGGUACUCGAGCGGCGAACGGGUGAGUAACACGUGAGCAACCUGCCCUAGGCUUUGGGAUAACCCCGGGAAACCGGGGCUAAUACCGAAUAGGACCUGGCCCCGCAUGGGGGUGGGUGGAAAGUUUUUCGGCCGGGGAUGGGCGCGCGGCCUAUCAGCUUGUUGGUGGGGUGAUGGCCUACCAAGGCGACGACGGGUAGCCGGCCUGAGAGGGCGACCGGCCACACUGGGACUGAGACACGGCCCAGACUCCUACGGGAGGCAGCAGUGGGGAAUAUUGCACAAUGGGCGGAAGCCUGAUGCAGCGACGCCGCGUGAGGGAUGACGGCCUUCGGGUCGUAAACCUCUUUCAGCAGGGACGAAGCGUAAGUGACGGUACCUGCAGAAGAAGCGCCGGCCAACUACGUGCCAGCAGCCGCAGUAACAC
rnacentral:rRNA from 1 species